CGUUCGGGCCGCGGGCCCGGGCAGCCUCAGCCCCAGAGCCCGAAUGCGGGGCUCUCACCCAGCCUCCACCCAACUCAGCCCAAGGUGCUGAUGCACCAGGACUGACUCUCUUUGGUCCUCCUCAGCCCCCUCCAAAUCUGUUCCAGCCAUCUACCCUUCCCAUAGAGGUACCACGAAAACAGAGGGAUGAUUCCUUCCCUCGGGAGGAAAAAUUGCCCUCAUCAGCUCUGUUACGGCUGCCUAACCCCGCGGGUGACACUGGUGCCUGACAGGCAUCACGUAGGACACAAGUCCAUAGGAACGCCACGGGCCUGCUCAUUCAGGUGUUUGUAGGGCCGUGCUACACAGACACAGUACUUCUGUGGGGAAAAGAUGCCCAAUUCACACAGAAGAGAGGAUUUUAACUUCUCCCACACAAAGUUAUAAUUAAUACGCUGCCAUCAAGAGUGAUUAUUUUCAUCUCUUUUUUAAAAAAUCUCACGUUGACUUCUCCUUUCUUCCAAAGAAAGUUUAGAAGUUGUGGGGAAGGUGCAAUGUUUGCUUGCUUUAACUUUGUGUGUCAUAAUCGGGGGUGUGCCCAGUGUUACCUGGGAACCUCAUGGGAACCCUCAAACCAGCAACAUAACACCCUCCAGCUCUGCGCAAUGAAACUGUCUCCCACUCUGACAGACAACUAUUUCCUGUUGUCUGGAACACCAAAAUGGAAUUUCAAUCCCAUACACUCAAAUAAAGUUUAUGCCACAGGGGAUAAAAAAGCAGGGUGAAUUACACAGACAUUUUCAAAAGGCUGUGAGAUGACACUGCUCACACGUAUCUGCUCUUCUCACCAUGCGCAGAUGGUUAAUGUGGAUGCUGAAGGAGAUUUAACUCCUUACCUAACCACUGCUGUCUUCCCAUGCCCCAUUCUGCCAGCCAAAUGAAUAGGCCGAUUUUCAUCCCUACCCACCUUUAAUAAUAUUGAUUACUGUUAUUCUGCUCCUCAGUGGCUGACUGAAUAUUCUCCCUGUGUCCAGCUGCUUUCAACAGGACUGAUGUGACUUCCGAGUCAAACAGAGAGACACAGCAAAGUCCUGACCCCACUGAAGUGGAAGUGAACAGUACUUGGAACCAGUGGAACAAGGAUUUCUCUCCCUGAAAUAGUUUGUGAGAUCUGGCAGCAACGUUUCCCAUCAGAUAGCAACUAUGAGAUCUUUGAUACUUUAUAUAACUGCCAUCCUUAAAUAAAACAUAUAUCUAGUUCAUCAUUUUUUCCCUGAUUUAAUUAGAAUCUUACUUAGUUUUUUCAGGUUGGUGAAGUCUUAUCUCGCAAUCUGUUGCAGAUGCCACUGUGUGGAGAUUAACGUUUGCUUUUUAAUUAAAGUUUUACUUGGGAAGUUUGUGAUACCCCCACACCAGCAUUUAAGACCAAGAAAAUAACUGUAUAUUGUUCUUAAAAUGAGCAGCCAUUGCAUAAUAUGAAACACUCAUAUUCAAAGUAUCACCAAAAAUUACUGUGUGGUUUUAAUUUCUCUGUGAGAUUUUGGGCUUGUUUUUAAAGAUCCUCCAUCAGAACUUUGCAUUUUCCAAGACAACAGUUUUAUAUUUCUUAACUUUAGACGGUUGAGGAGUCAGCAUGUUCUUUUGCACGGGUUCCCAACCAACAUUAGAAAGCAGUGUUCAGCUGAGCACUUACACGCUAAGCAGCUGGUUGCCACCAGAGCACGAUUUCUGCAGGCGGUGCAGGGAUGGGAAGGAAACAGCCACAGCUCAAGAAGGUGGUGAAGAAAAAUUGGGAGGUUAAGCAGGGCCAUAGGAACAGCAGCACUGUGGAAAGGUUCCAGGAAACUGCCACAGGAGUCUGGGGCAAAGAUGGAGGAGUUCCAGCAGUGCUGGGGCAGUACCUACAUCUGGGAAAGAGCAUAACCUGUGCGCCAGAUGUGCUAUGUAAAAACUUCUGCCUGCCCUUCAGCCCCAGCGUGUGUGCCUCACGGGGUCUAACCCAUCUCCACCCCAAAUGAGGAACAUAUGGAGCACCAUGAAUGGCAGAAACAAGACUUCACUUUGAACUACAUUUCUCCUAUCAAAGGGCCCUCUGUCUUGCCUUCUUCUUCUCUGGUCCCCUGGGUAAUCAUGAGGAAAGAACUGAACAUUUGGAAAAGCCUCCUGGGGAUGAAUUCAUUUCUAGUGUAACUCUGCUGAAGUUAAUGGUGUUGCACCAUAGAUUAAAAUGGCACCAUAAUAUUAAAAACCAGAGAAGGCA